GAUGAACGCUGGCGGCGUGCUUAACACAUGCAAGUCGAACGAAGCACUUGAGAAUGAUUCUUCGGAUGAAGUCUUUUGUGACUUAGUGGCGGACGGGUGAGUAACGCGUGGGUAACCUGCCUCACACAGGGGGAUAACAGUUGGAAACGACCGCUAAUACCGCAUAACCCGCUGGUAUCGCAUGAUACUGACGGAAAAGAUUUUAUCGGUGUGAGAUGGACCCGCGUCUGAUUAGCCAGUUGGCAGGGUAACGGCCUACCAAAGCGACGAUCAGUAGCCGGCCUGAGAGGGUGAACGGCCACAUUGGGACUGAGACACGGCCCAA
rnacentral:rRNA from 1 species